rnacentral:rRNA from 1 species
UACGUAGGGCGCAAGCGUUAUCCGGAAUUAUUGGGCGUAAAGAGCUCGUAGGCGGUUUGUCGCGUCUGCCGUGAAAGUCUGGGGCUCAACUCCGGAUCUGCGGUGGGUACGGGCAGACUAGAGUGAUGUAGGGGAGACUGGAAUUCCUGGUGUAGCGGUGAAAUGCGCAGAUAUCAGGAGGAACACCGAUGGCGAAGGCAGGUCUCUGGGCCUUAACUGACGCUGAGGAGCGAAAGCAUGGGGAGCGAACAGG